GUUUGAUCCUGGCUCAGAACAAACGCUGGCGGCGUGCCUAACACAUGCAAGUCGAGCGAUCCACGUUUCCUUGGCGAGCUUGCUCAAAAAGGAAGCAUUUGGAUAGCGGCGAACGGGUGAGUAAUGUGUGGGUAAUCUACCCUUAAGUCUGGGAUAACCUGUGGAAACAUGGACUAAUACCGGAUAAUGCCUCUUUGAGAUAACUCGAAGAGAAGAAAGGCUUCGGCCACUUUUGGAUGAGCCCACAUCCUAUUAGCUUGUUGGUGAGGUAAAAGCUCACCAAGGCGAUGAUGGGUAGCCGGUCUGAGAGGAUGGUCGGCCACACUGGGACUGAGACACGGCCCAGACUCCUACGGGAGGCAGCAGUGAGGAAUUUUCCGCAAUGGGCGAAAGCCUGACGGAGCAACGCCGCGUGGAGGAUGAAGGUUUUCGAAUUGUAAACUCCUUUUAGCAGGGAUGAAGCCUUAGGGUGACAGUACCUGCAGAAAAAGCCCCGGCCAACUACGUGCCAGCAGCCGCGGUAAAACGUGGGGGGCGAGCGUUGUUCGGAAUUACUGGGCGUAAAGCGUACGUAGGCGGUUGAUUAUGUCAGACGUGAAAGUCUUGGGCUUAACCCAAGAAGGGCGUUUGAAACUGAUCGACUAGAGUCUAGAAGAGGGAAGUGGAAUUCCUGGUGUAGCGGUGAAAUGCGCAGAUAUCAGGAGGAACACCGGUGGCGAAGGCGGCUUCCUGGGCUACGACUGACGCUGAGGUACGAAAGCUAGGGGAGCAAACAGGAUUAGAUACCCUGGUAGUCCUAGCCGUAAACGAUGGGCACUAGGUGUGGGAGGUCGUUGACGCCUUCCGUGCCGCAGCUAACGCAUUAAGUGCCCCGCCUGGGGAGUACGGCCGCAAGGCUAAAACUCAAAGGAAUUGACGGGGGCCCGCACAAGCGGUGGAGCAUGUGGCUCAAUUCGACGCAACGCGAAAAACCUUACCAGGGCUUGACAUAUAAGCGAAACUCCUUGGAAACUUGGAGCCUCCUUUUAGGACGCUUAUACAGGUGGUGCAUGGUUGUCGUCAGCUCGUGCCGUGAGGUGUUGGGUUAAGUCCCGCAACGAGCGCAACCCUUGUUAUGUGUUGCCACCAUUUAGUUGGGAACUCACAUGAGACUGCCGGUGUCAAGCCGGAGGAAGGUGGGGACGACGUCAAAUCAUCAUGCCCCUUAUGCCCUGGGCUGCACACGUGCUACAAUGGGUGGUACAAAGGGUUGCGAUCCCGUGAGGGGGAGCGAAUCCCAUAAAGCCAUCCUAAGUUCGGAUUGAAGGCUGCAAUUCGCCUUCAUGAAGCAGGAAUCGCUAGUAAUCGCGAAUCAGAACGUCGCGGUGAAUACGUUCCCGGGCCUUGUACACACCGCCCGUCACACCACGAAAGCUGGUAACACCCGAAGCCGGUGG
rnacentral:rRNA from 1 species